AAACCAACAGGGAUUACCUCAGUAACGGCGAGUGAAGCGGUAACAGCUCAAAUUUGAAAUCUGGCUCUUUCAGGGUCCGAGUUGUAAUUUGUAGAAGAUGCUUUGGGUGUGGCCCUGGUCUAAGUUCCUUGGAACAGGACGUCAUAGAGGGUGAGAAUCCCGUAUGUGACUAGGUGCCUUCGCCCGUGUAAAGCUCUUUCGACGAGUCGAGUUGUUUGGGAAUGCAGCUCAAAAUGGGUGGUAAAUUUCAUCUAAAGCUAAAUAUUGGCCAGAGACCGAUAGCGCACAAGUAGAGUGAUCGAAAGAUGAAAAGCACUUUGGAAAGAGAGUUAAACAGUACGUGAAAUUGUUGAAAGGGAAGCGCUUGCAACCAGACUUAGUUGCGGCCGAUCAUCUAGGGUUCUCCCUGGUGCACUCGGUCGUAUCUAGGCCAGCAUCGGUUUGGGUGGUGGGAUAAAGGCCUUGGGAAUGUAGCUUCUUUCGGGGAGUGUUAUAGCCCUCGGUGCAAUGCCGCCUACCUGGACCGAGGACCGCGCUUCGGCUAGGAUGCUGGCGUAAUGGUUGUAAGCGAC
rnacentral:rRNA from 1 species